UUCCGGUUGAUCCUGCCGGACCCGACUGCUAUUUGGGUGAGAAUAAGCCAUGCGAGUUGAAUGGGAUACCUAAAGUUCCCAUAGCAAACUGCUCAGUAACACAUGAUCAACUUACCCUAUAGAGAAAAAUAACCUCGGGAAACUGAGGAUAAUGUUUCAUAAUUGAAUUGGCUUGGAAAAGUUUUUCAAUGAAAAGGAUAAAAAAAAAUGGUUUUUAUCUGCUAUAGGAUAGGAUCGUGUUCGAUUAUGGUUGUUGGUGAGAUAAUGGCUCACCAAGCCGAUAAUCGAUAGGGGCCGUGAGAGCGGGAGCCCCGAGAUGGGUACUGAGACAACGACCCAGGCCUUACGAGGCGCAGCAGGCGCGGAACCUCCGCAAUACACGAAAGUGUGACGGGUUACCCAAGUGUCAAUAGAACUGUGGUAGGUGAGUAAUGUCCCCUACUAGAAAGGAGAGGGCAAGGCUGGUGCCAGCCGCCGCGGUAAAACCAGCUCUUCAAGUGGUCGGGAUAAUUAUUGGGCUUAAAGUGUCCGUAGCCGGUUUAGUAAGUUCCUGGUAAAAUCGGGUAGCUUAACUAUCUGCAUGCUAGGAAUACUGCUAUACUAGAGGGCGGGAGAGGUCUGAGGUACUACAGGGGUAGGGGUGAAAUCUUAUAAUCCUUGUAGGACCACCAGUGGCGAAGGCGUCAGACUGGAACGCGCCUGACGGUGAGGGACGAAAGCCAGGGGAGCGAACCGGAUUAGAUACCCGGGUAGUCCUGGCCGUAAACGAUGCAUACUAGGUGAUGGUACGGCCAUGAGCCGUAUCAGUGCCGUAGGGAAACCGUUAAGUGUGCCGCCUGGGAAGUACGGUCGCAAGGCUAAAACUUAAAGGAAUUGGCGGGGGAGCACCACAAGGGGUGAAGCCUGCGGUUCAAUUGGAGUCAACGCCGGG
rnacentral:rRNA from 1 species